GCCGCGAGGUGGCGCGCUGCCGCCCGCCCCGAGGUGGGCCGGGCGCGGUGCUGCUGCUCGGGUUGUGGGCUCAGUUGGGCGGGCGGGGUUGUGAGGUGUUCAGCCGGCCUGAGGGAGAAAGGGGGAUUUCCCAAGUUAACGCGCUUUUUAAGUGUGGAAGCACAGAAGUGAAGGGGCGUCACGAGGCGGUGUGAAGAGCUUGUGGAAGGGUUGAUCCAAAUCUCACUGUAUCCCUCUCCAAGAUGAUCGGGCCCAGUGCUGGCAGGACCUGCAGCAGACUGGGGGAUUGCAGCAUACAUAUGUGAGGACUUCCUGCACCAGGGGCACCCCAGGGGAGUGCAGAGACCCACUGGGAGCUGGCGGUUCUGGUGAGAAGAACUGAGAAGACUCCAGUGGGGCCAGGAGCAGUGGCCAUCGUUCUCUGCGUGUGCAGAAGACAGCCCCAGGGACUGUGGCGAUCGGCACAUAGCGGGUCUGAUAGAGCCAAACAACUUUUAUCUAAUUCUGCUCAUUCAAGCUGGAUCACAGAAGGCUUUAACAAGGAGACUGCAAAACAUUAAAAGGGACUUUACAUCUCUUGGAAGGAUGUAGAAGAGAUUGGGAGUGUAAGUAGUGUUGUCUUCUGUCCUUCUGAUGGAGGCUGGCACCUGGGAAGGAGGAGAACAGGACAAGCGAAUGAUUGGCUGUGUGGAUGGUGCUAUACAUGGGGCUGUGGCUUCCAUGAUCUUCGACAGGCCUUUGAGGUGCUGAGCAUGUUGACUUCAAAUGAGACACAACUGACUGGGUGGGACAAGAAUGUUCUGGGAAACAAGCUGUCUGGGCUGAUCAGCAGAACUUAAAACUAGAUUCGAUGGGGAAAGGAGGUGGAUUUCAAAAUGACAAAGGAAGACUGGCGAACGCUGUCACUUUAGAAGGCAGUGGAGAUGGACUUCAGAUUUGUCCCCAAGGAACUCAGGAGGGCUCCCUGAAGAAGCUAAUACUGCUGAUUGUCUGGAUGAUGUGCCUCUAUACCAGUGCCAGCAGCAUGGGAAAUAAUCAGGAGGAGCUGGAAGACAUGGCACAACGGAAAAACUUACCUAGUUGCUAUCAAGGAAAUGUGGAAUGAAUUGCACAGCUGGAGCACAGUGAUCAAGGCCUGCAAGCUUUUUAGGAGAAAUACAGGGGGAUGGAGGGGCAGGGGAGUUGCUCUCUGCGUUAAGAAGUGGAUAGAUUGAAAAGAGCUGCCUUUGAAAAACAGCCAUGAUCAGAUGGAGAGCUCGUGGGCAACAGCAGGAACUGGUCCAUUGAAGGCCAUCUGGUGAUUGGGGUCUACUACAGGUUGCCCCAUCAAGGGGAGCUUGAGCACAAGGCCUUCUUGCUACAAAAGGCUCUCAUCCUGAUGGGAGAUUUCAACCACUCAGAUGUCUGCUGGGGAAACAACAUGAUGGGCUGCAAGUGAUUCAGGAGACUCCUGAAGUGCAUGGAUGAAUAUCAGGGACUGGUCCAACAAAGGACAUCUGAUGUUAAGGGGUCUACUACAGGCUGUGUGAUCAAGGGUAGCCUGUGGAUAAGGCCUUCUUGCUUCAGAUACAGGAAGCAUUGUAUUCACAGGCUUUCAUCCUCAUGGGGAAUUUCAGCCAUCCAGAUGUCUGCUGGGAAAGAAGCACAGUGGGUUGCAGACAAUCCAGGAGACUCUUGAAGUGUGUUGAUGAUAACUUCCUGGUCCGGGUAUUAUACAAAUUGACCUGAGGGGAAGCGUUAAAAGAUCUGUUGCUCACCAGUGUAGAGGAGAUCAUUGAGGAGGUUAAGAUAGAAGGCAGUCUGGGCUAUAUUGACCAUGCCUUGGUUGAAUUUGUGAUCUUGAGGAAUAUGGGCCUGGAGAAAAGCAAACUCAGGGCCUGAACUUGAGGAGAGAGAACUUCUGGCAGUUUAAGGAAUUAUUAGAUGAGAUCCCUUGGAAAGCUGUUGGAGUAGAGCUGGCAGCUCUUUUAAGGACACGUUUUUGAAAUCACAAGAACUCAGUAUAGGAAAACAAAAAGAGAAAGCAGGAGACUGGUAGGGCUGAGCAAGGACCUACUGGUCAAACUAAGGGAAAACAGGAACUCUCUCUUGAACUGUCUUUCUUGAACAGGGGUGCCAAAAUCUGCACACAGUACUGCAGAAUUGGCCUCACCAGAGCAGAGUAGAGGGGGAGGAUCACCUCCCUUGACCUGCUCACCACACUCUUUUUAAAGCACCCCAGGAUACCGUUAGCCUUCUGUGUCACAAGGGCACACUGCUGGACUAUGAUCAAGCUGCUGUUCACCAGUACACUCACAUCCUUCUCUGCAGAGUUCCUUUCUAUCAGAUCAGCCCCUAAUCUGUACUAGUGUGUAGAGUUAUUUCUCCCCAUGUGUAGGACUCUACACUUGCCCUUGUUGAACCUCAUAAGGUUCCUUUCUGCACAACUGUCCAGCCUGUCCAGGUCUCACAGAAUAGCAACACAGCCUUCUGGUGUGUCAGCCACUCCUAGCUUUGUAUCACCAGCAAACUUGCUGAGGGUGCACUUUAUCCCUUCAUCUAUGUCCCUUAUGAAGAUGUUAAACAAGACCAGAUGCAGUUCUGACUCCCGGGGAACACUGUUAGCUACAGGUUUCCAACUAAGACUCUGUCACUGAUCACAACUCUCUGAGCUGUACCAGUAAGCCAGUUCUCAAUCCACCUCACUGUCCAUUCAUCUGUCCCACAGUUCCUAAGCUUACCUAUGAGGAUGUAGUGGAAGACAGCAUCAAAAGCCUCGAUGAUGUCAAAGUUGACAACAUCCGGUGUUCUCUGCUCAUCUAUCCAGCUGGUCAUGGCAUCAUAUAAGGCUACCAGACUGAUCAAGCAUAAUUUCCCCUUGGAGAAUCCAUGCUCACUACUCCCGAUGACUUUCUUCUCUUCCACUUAGAAAGGCUUGGAUUCCAUGCUUGAAGAUGACAUCCAGAGUAAGUUUUCCAACCUACAAGAUUCCAUGAUUCUGUUUCUUCAUGCUUGGACUAUGUUGCCAUCUGGGAUUUUCUGGUAAUUGCCAAGAAGUUGGGAAGGUUCCAUAGCACUGCGUUUUCAAAUUUGUCCUCGGUGAACUGUCUCAUAUGCAGUGAAUUUCAUGCAACAUCCAGUAUAACAUUAGGAACUCUUCUUUAGGACUGCUACAUGGAUAGCUAAAGUGGAACAACAACCUAUAUGGCACAUGAAAUGCCAGAGUUUGUGGAGGUGCUACAGAAGAGCACAGAGGAUUAAAGUAUCUUGUUGACACUGAUGAAAAAAUAGAGGCAAAAGGCUGGACAUGUUCAUAUUGUGAGCUAACAGCUUUCUUCCAGUCAUAUAGUGAACUCCCUUAUUUUGAGACAUCCUGACAUAUGAUUUUGAUCCCUAGGUCUACUCUGAGGCAGGGGAAAGAAAUUAUAGAAGUCACUUAAGAUAUGAAGGGAAGUGGAUUAGGGAUGGAAUGGUACAAAGCAGGGGAUAGAGAUCAGAUAUAUCUCAGACAGAAGAGACUUGCCUGUUUUAAGUCUGCUGCUGCUAGCAUCGUGUGUUGAAUGAGACUCAGCAAUAGCCAGUUGCAUCUUAGAUUUCGUCCAAGUAACAAUCUAGAGUAGCUUUUGAGUGAGGAGAGAUGAAGGGAUGAGAACAUAUAGGGAUAUGUCUGCUGGAAACUGAAAACUUGAUUCAGAAAUUCACUAUUUAAAAAUGGAAUGUUGUUUUAAAUUAGAAUUAUUUUUUAUUUGCGUGGUUGUAAAUUGUUCACAGUGCAAGCGGGGUCCUCUUCCUGGGAGUUGUAAGCCUAUUAAAAGAAGUGCAGGCUCUGCUAUUUCAGCUGCCUCUUGAGGAUCCCUUAGCAGUUUAAUUGUCCUCCUGUCCAAAAGCCCAUUUCCCAGCUUGAAGGUCCCUGAUGGCCAUCAGUCAAACCAGAAGACGUCGAUGACACUUGUAGGCAAGAAAAAAGUUUAGUUACAUGCCAUGUGCACUCUGUCCGGUAGGGGGAGAUGUUGCCAAACGGCAGGAGUAUUCAAACUGGAGGAAACUGGGUUUCAUGGACGAAAACAAUGAAUGCUCCAAGGAUCACCGAGGAGACGGCUCGCUGUGGUUUUGGGAUAGCCAAGAACAACUGAGCAGAGAGCGGCAUUUCUGGGAAGAGGCAUCAGGUGCCCAUGGAUUUCAGUUCAAUCAUGAUAGUAAACUGAUCCAUAGAGGCUUGCAGAAAAUUUCAGAAUUGUCAUUUGAGGAAGUGAGGAAAGAAGGGAGCUGUCUGUAUAAACUACAACAGAUACGAAGAGCUUGAUUCUCAAGAUAAUUCCUCUUCACUUGAUGAAUCCCAGGCAAGCCAAAAGGUUGGACAACCAAGAUGUCUGCGGUUCCUGUUUUCUGUAUAGGUCUACUCAUCCAUGCUAAACUUCAGAGAGAUCCCUCUAGUUUCUCCUGAUACCUUUGCAUUUCAUUCAGUAUGGCGUGUUGUAGAAGUGAGACUCAAACCCUGGCUUUCCUGUGCCCACAACAUUGUUACUGGAGGAGCUGGAUUCACUGAAUGGCAGAUGUCACCACAUGGACCUUCCCCACGUCACUCUCCAUCUACACCUCUGAACAUGAGAGGGGAGUGUAUCCCAUUUAGGCCACCUUCACUGGACCUGAAGUAAGGUGAGAGAGUCUGUGGGCUCUUCAUGCCCCUGCCAGAAACGUGCCUUCUAACUGGUCUCUUGAUGCCUCACCUGCAGCUGAGGCACCUGCCGCUGAGCACCUGGAGAUGCAUUCCGGCCAAGAGACUGAACACCCAAAACUAUCCAUUAGCAUUUUCCAUGAAGAGAUAAGCUCUGCUCUCUGUUGGAGUUUCACUGUAGUAGCUAGGGGUUUGGGAGACCUGGCUUUGUUUCUGGCUCUGUCAUUCAUCUUCUGCAUGGCCUUGGCAAGUCCUUUCUCUUUUCUGUGCCUGCCUUUGCCCACAUACUCCUCUUCUGAACUAAUGGCGGUACUGUGGCUGUUUGAAUCUGUGUUGUGUGAGUAAAUAAACAGUAACUGUAGAAAGGUUUGAUUUUUUUAAAAAGAUGCUGCUUGGCAAGAUCUAACGUUAACCGAAGAUGGAAAAGGUGUGGUAUCUUGAAGUUUUUCCACCUCUACUCUCUGCUUACCUUCAGUGGAAAGUUGAUUUUCAUCAGCUGAGGAACAGAAACGAGUCCCAGCCUGCUAGCACAACCACAGUGUUAGUUAGGAAUAGUCUGAAACACAUGCAGGGAGUGAAAAUAAACCCCAGCUUAUCUGUACACUGACUUUAGACAAUAAGAGUAGCUGUGGACCAGACAUCUACUGAAAGGUGUCCUGGAGCAGAAGGCAAAGUUUCCCUUCUAAACAGCUUACUUUUGCCAUCCAGGUCCUGGAAACACUCAGCUAUUUGUAAGCAUAGAAUUUUCUCUGCAAAACACUGAUGCUUUGGGGUAGGCUGAGUACUCUGCAUUGAAAUCCAGGAUACAAUGCAGUCAGUGGGUGGCCCCAGACAACUUUGAAUGGGCUUUGGAAUAGGGCCCAAGCAUAUCACAAAGAAAGGGAGAAGGAAGCUUUGCUUUAGCCAAAUCUCUGAGCAUGUGCUUCACCACUGAAAUUAGUAAGAAUUAAGCAUAUACUUAAGUAUUCUGCUGACACUUACCUUAACCACCGAGUAACAAAUACUGUCUUGCAGAGACUCUGCUUAAAAGAGAAAAAUGCCUUUUACGUGUCAAAGAGGGACAUAACAUUUAAAAUGGCAUUUCAAAUUUCUUUUAUUUUUUAGUGACAUAGCAAAAGCAGUAUUUGGCCCUGUGCUGCUUGGAACGAGGACAUUUCAAAUUAUUACCAACUGCAGCUUCUCUCUGCAUCAUUUUGCAUUAUGCAGUUUAAUGGCUGCCUGCUAGAAAGGCAUCUUCUCUGCUUCAGUCAUCUAACAGGAUUUUUGGCAUCCAGCUCAUCAGAUGGGUUAUUUUCUUUAACCAUAUUCCUGUAGGACUGCAUCUUUUAAGCAUCCUGCUGCGUUAUUUUGGCACAACCUUUAUAUCUCUUCAUCUUAUUGUUUCUGGAAUUCCUUUUCUCUUUGUAUCAAGUGAUGUUGCUGUGUGUGCUUUUUCUAACAAAUCUUGGUGGAAGAUCAGAAAAACAAACAAACAAAAAAGGCUAAUGUAUCCUAAGGAUUGAUAAUUUCAGGGUCAAAAGAGAUUUUAAGUGCUGAUCUUCUUGCACCCGCUGAUGAAUCUUUCCGACCAAGAAGCUGGUGUAUCGUAUCUAGCUGGCAGCACACAGAACACAUUAGGAAAACAAAGAGAAUGUGAGAUUAAGCCGAAAACAGGCAAGAGAGGCAUUUUCUCACUGUUCUGCAUGAAGGCAGAAGAUGCUUCAAGAGGAUACAACCUCGGUUUUCUUGUUGGAACUAUGGCCUCUUCCCCCCAUCAGAUUAUUCAAAGGCAACAUCACUGAAGUCAAGUGAGAACAGGACACUGCUGAAGUCUGCUGAGCCGUUCUGGUCUGGAAUAACCUGUCAACAGGAACACAGAGGGAAAAUCCUAAUGGCACUAAGUUACUCCUGACAAGUGGAUCAGCACCCACGGACAGCCACAUGCUGUGUUGCGAAGACCAGCUCUGGUGUCCCAAGAACAAGUGAGCUUGGCACAGCCUCGAGGAGCACUGUCAGCAGCUACAGCAAAGUGUUUGGAAACAAAGAGAUUCCACUCUACUCCUGAUUGUUCAAGUAAUGCAGAACGAUGAAGUAGGCAAACGGCAAGAGGUAAUACAAAUUUUGAAAUGCAUCAGAUGGGAAUGUAAGGACCUACCUAUGGUAAUUCGGGGAUGAACAGACUGCAUCUGGCACGAUACUAAGGGCUUUCGCAUUCCCUGUUCCACUUCAAGAUGAAACUCAUCCUCAUGAUUGAACAAUGGACAGUAAUGGAAAAAAAUCCUCAAUUUUUCAUCCUUUUCAGAGUGAAUUCUCCAGAAUGGAAAGGAGGAAAAAGCUUAUUUGAUUGACUGGAAAUUAAAAGCACUCAAUGAUCAGGAAAAUAUUUCUAAAAAUGUGGAUGUUAUUUUCAUGCAACAUGAGUUCUGAAUAUAUGGGCAGGCAAUUACCCAACCUAUUAUAGGCCACUGCAUAUUGGAUGGCAGCUACAGAACUCUUGGCUUCAAAUGUUUGGAUAGAACAGUACCUUAAUUCUUCUUCCCCUUUCUGUUAAUGGGAAGAACAGCAGCUGGGAGGAACAUUUGCUGUGGGCAGAGUGUAGACUGUAUUAAGGAUCAAACAUUUAAGCAGAACAUUUCAACAGGGAUGCAGAACCCAUUUAGAUUUCAGCUGUGAACAUGUUUAAUCUUGUUUAAAACUGAGCCUCCUAGAAUGCCUCUGCAAAAGCUGAGAAAUAGUAGAAAUUAAGUUUCCAUUUACCUCUGAAACAAAAGAUCAAAAAAGAUUUGUGUUCACAACUACUUGGUGUAAUUUUAGUACACGUAACUAUGGUGCUGUUCAACCCAGGAUUUAAAUGUGAGUCUCACAUCCUCCUAUGGAGAUGGAAUUCUGCCAGAUUGUCCAGAACUUUUACUAGACCAGUCACAAGCUCCUGCAGACUUCGAAACAAACAGCAAAGUAACAAACACGAAAUAUGAGUUAGAAUCAAAAUUCUGGAAAAAAGCAAAAGGAGAAUACCCUCCCUCUCCCCCACCCCCCCAUAAUGGUGAAGGUAGGAAUCCAAGUAAACAAGUGGAGCUGAACAUUCCAGCUGAAGCUGUAAUGAACCUAACCCCAAAAUCCUCAACAAAUGGAAUCCAGAUCUGCAUUAUUUCAAUAACUUUUUUUUUUUUCCAGAUGCUCUUCUAGUUCUCUUAACAAUAUCUCUCUUGAUAACGCAUUGCUUUUAUUCUCAAAAAGCACAGGGAAACACGACAUAAAAACAGAGCUGUACAUGAUUGAAUCAGUGGUCAAUGCAUCCUAGUAUCUGCCACUAUGACUAGUAGCAGACUACUCGAAAAAAUGAGUGUAAAUAUCGUGUACACUAGCACUUGUUUGGAUUGUAUUGCACCUUCCCUCAGUUUAAGAAUUUAUCUGUCUGGCAGUUGUAGCAGCAUUUUUGAGCUCAGUACUCCUCAUGGAUUUGACUGCCAUGAAUUGGUACCUACUGUUCUCUGGGUCCUAAAAUUUCACAGUUCAGGUAUGUAUUAUUUGCAUUCACUUGUUUUAAAUCAACCACCUGUUAAAUUGGUUUGAUGUCCAUGGUCCCUGUGUUUUGAGAAGCAAUAACAAAAUACUCUCUUUGCCUGCUCUGUCCUUCAGAAGCAGUAGUACUCAACAACCUCUUUUCUAAACUAGAGCAUUCCAGACUAUCUUGUCUCCCUGCUCAGUGGAGCCAGCCCGAGUUUUCAACCACCUUUGCCAUCCUAUUUGUUUCCUUUACUAGUUUUAUUAUCUGCUUUUCUAGGUGAGUGGAAACCGCAACCAAACAUAGCCUCAGAUUUCCACUGCCUGUGAAACAGCUGAGUUACUUACCAAUUUCUGAACUGAUCUUCUUUGGGUUGGGUACAAUCUAAGGGCUUUCUCACAGAUUAUUGUGUGAUAAAGCAACAGACAGAGCUGUGAAUUUCCACUGCCUGCAUGAGAAAAAUAGGUAGGUGCAGGACUUCUGUCAUUGUGCUUGUGGUGCAAGCUCAUGCUGCAGCAGUGACAAUAACUAAGUGGCUUGUCCUCUAUGACUAUCUACAACAAUAGUGUUAAUAUUUGUAUUAUAUUAAAUUAUAUUCUAUUGUAUUAUAUUAAAACAAAUAUAAUAUGAUAUCAAUAAUAUUGUUGUUAUUAUUAAUAAUAAUAAUAGUAACAGUUUUUAUACACUGCACUUUUACAAGAGGAAAUGUACACCUCCCUUUGCCCUUGCCACUAACAAAGAAGCUGCCUCCUCCUCACCAACGUCCAGAUGUCUCUGCAGCAAAACAGAGACAGAAAUAGAGAAACCUUCCUGAUGCAGGUAGCCAUCACAAGAGUAUCUUUUCACCAGACUCUGUGAAUCUGCUCUCCUAUCAAAGGUUUGUCUCAACCUGAAGGUGAGUGCUGACAACAAGGUAAGCCAUCAGCUGGUCAGACUCACAGUUUGCACCAGGCCUCCCUCUCCAGAGAAUAUUUAGGCAGGGAGGUGAACAUGCAGAAGAAUGUUUAAAUUAAAAAAAAAAAAAAAGUCCUUAAACCCAAAAGCUGAAGACAUCAUGAUGGGAACAAUAUUCCAAGUUUAUAGCUCAGAAUCAGUGUACAAAGAGAUCCAGAAACUCAGGCAUCUGUAAGAACUGUCAAGUCCUCUAACUGUCAGAAGAAAGGUCUAUUUUUCACUGCAACAGACAUACUGGGUACUUGCAGUCAGGUACACAAGGGGUACAGGUUUCCAUGACACCAAUACAAAGGUUCUCCAUGGAAGCUCGUGGCAGCAAAAUUAAAUGAAGCUGAUAAUUUACACUCUCUCACUUACAAAUGCAAUAUCAUCAGUGCUAGAUAAAUUAUUGAAAAAGUUGUCAAAUAAGUUGCCUUGUAGGUAUGAUCACCAUUGUGCUACUUGAACAGCAUUUGAACAGCCGUUCCUUCGGAGCUCUCUGAAAUGAUUGCUUGAGAGAAGUUUUAAUGUGACUCUUCUUCCACUAAAUAUUCUAUAACGAAUACACUUGGUGUAAUUCUGUCACUCACUUAGGAUUUUUGUGCUUUAAUUCUGCUCCCUUGUAAAUGAUAGGAGAAAACUCCUCUACUGAGUCAUGCAUGUUUUCAAGUCUAGGAGUUCAGAACAAUGUUUUCUGUUCAUUCCCAUUUUAAAAUUUUGGUAAACAAAGCAAAAACAAUUUUAAAAUAUUUUAGCUUAGCAAGUAGGCAGGGCUAAUCACUCAGUGGCAAACCUGAAUGGCAGCCAAAGCUAUCUAUAGGACACAGAGAUAAUUCUGGGGAGAUUCCUGUGCUGGGAUUAAAUGGAGUCAGUGAACCUAGAGAGACUCUAAGCACACGCAGCCCCUGUGUGCCCAUUUCUACUUCACAUGAUUUUGUGCUGCAUUUGGAGUGGUCUGGAGGGUGGGAGUUUAAAACAGGAGGCCCAAGGGUCUUUCCUGUUUUUCAGCUUCGAAUCCAUUAACAGUUGGUUAGGCUGUGGUACCUUUUUAGAGCCAUAAAAACUUCUAACACAUUCACUGGCAUUUUCAAUGCUGCUGUCAAGUGCUCACGUUUCUGAUCCAGAAGGCUAGGUACUAUUGAGCUUUUCAUUAACAAUGAGCCAAACCAAAAAAAAAAAAAUGAAGAUCUAAAAUACCUUUGAUUUCUGGGUGUACAAAGUACAGUUAUGAAAAUAUCAGUCCAGUCUGUUUUCUGUGUCGCAGUCAGAUCUGGCUGGGUUUGGUUUCCUGUUCUGUUUUUAAGUUGUAUCUGUUCAAAGCAGAACAUUUGUGAUCUCUGCAAAGGCACGAGAUGGUUUUUCAUGGCUGAAAAGCCUCCCAGACUUUGGUCUGUUAGAAUCCAAAGCCAGAUUCACAUCACAGCCCAACUAGACCUUGAAAUGUGAAUAUUAACCAAAAAGUAGUUCUGACCGAGAUGUCAAUUCUUAAGCUGUAAUACUCAGUGAAGAGCCAGGAAAUCAAACUGCUGAGAGCAAACAAUACCACCUUUAUGGCUCCACAAUCACCUAUCUCAGCCUAAGUCUGUUUGGUUUUCAGGAAGCUUGAUUAACGAGUAAAGUAAGGAUGUGAAUUCUUCUCUUGACUCUGGUGAGUGCCAGAAUGACUGGGCAUAUUAAUUAAUUUUCUUUAUGCCAGUGAAUACUUUUAUUCAUACAGAGUCAAACCACCGAUGGAUUGAAACUAAUCCUUUAGCCCAGCAGGGAAAGAACUCACCUAGGAUGCCUGACGUCUGACUUCAGCCACUGCUCACAGGAGGCUCUUCUACAACUCACACACUCUAAGUGACAACCAGUGUGGCACUGUUGGCUACUGUAUUAGAUGGAAAGUGGAGUCCCGUUUCUCAUUUCAAACACUGAGAAAGGUCUGCUGAAACUGUAGCUCCUUGCAGAGGUUUCAUAUCAAACAGGUCAGAGUUUUUUAAGGAGAAUUGUCCUUGGAGAACCACCCUUGAUCAGCUAUACUGUGUGUAUGCUGAGCCUCACAUUCCUGGCCCCUUUUGAGGUUUAUGAUUAGAUUAUUUGCUAAGAAUGGAGGGAAAAUGACAGUAUCCCAUUGCAGUGGGCCAUUUAUCUGACAUGAGAAAGUAGCUAUGUAAUAUCAGAUGUGUCAGUACUAACACAUACACCAGUAACUUUAACCUGAUAAAGAUGCUGGGCUGGAAAAUUAGGUUCUUCAUGCUCUCUAGAUCAAAAUUAAAAAGAUAAAUAAAUCCAGUCUCUCUCAGUGGGAACUGGUUCUCAAAGCUUCAGAGCCAGGUUUGCUUCAGAAGCUACACAGGUGAAAGCUUGCAGGCAGAUGCCAGAUACAAACAUGCAGGGACUGAUAGAUACCGGCACCCACAGUUUUUUAUUGAGGAGCCUAUGGUCAGGCAAUCCAAUUUGAAGACUGAGUAAAGAAAAGACCAGGUGCCUAACUUCUGAUAAUUUUUAUUAUUUAUUUAUUUAUUUAUUUAUUUGUGAGCAAGGAAGCUUUGAAGGUAGCAGCUCAAAGAAAAGAACAUGUAUUUUCAUGGACUUAGAUGAACAUAAGCCAAGGUAUGUACUACCAAGCAUGGAAGCACAUUCUUUGAGAUUCUGAGUUCAGACAUGUUCCUCAGGUGUGUUCUGAUUGUGUUUCAGGGCAUAAUACCACCUCCCCUUGCAGGCUCAUUGCCACAGAACAAGCCGGGUGUAUGAGUGGGGCAGCUUUGGCCAGCUUCAGCUAGCUUCCCUGUAAGCAACUGGAAUAUGAAGAUUUGAAUACAGUCAGAAAGGCUUCACUUUUUGCUUCUGACUGGAGAUGAACCAAGAAAACCUGAUCUGGGAAUUCCAGUCACAUGCAAUAAUGAUGGGACACAGCGAUAAAUUUCAGAUAGAUUCAUUUUCUAUGCUCCAGUACAUCUUUUCUGGGAAACUCCUACAUCAGUCUGUUUCACUUGUGCAGCUUGUUAUUUCUUUACUGAACCAUUGGCAUGGACUUCCCAGGCUUCCUAAGAAGCCCGUGGCAGUUGUUAUUUUUCAGUGUAUUAUUUUUUUUAGCAUUUUCAAAGGAAAAAUGAAUGUUUAAAAUGUAGGGAGGGAGCAUUUGGAAAGAAGGACUGUCAGUGGUGUAGCCUGGCUCAGUAGUCAGCUUAUCUUCAGAGCUGAGGCCGUGUUAGAGAUUCAGCUAAAUGAUGGCAGGUGAGCCCAGGUGUGCCACAGACCCAUGGUCACAGUGUCUGCAGCACAGGCAUACUGAGGGAGCAUGCACACUAACGCUGCUGUAACUAUUGUGAAAGUAAGGGGGAAUCACAGUUUUUGAAUUGCCACAGCUCACUGUCUUCUCUAAGAAAAAUCAAUACAAGGAGGUUUCUAGAAGGGCCUUGUCUGAGGAUGUGCUUUCCCAUGUAUGACAGCAAAAGGAAAAUUCUUGUGAAAACAAGUUCUUAGCAAGGCAUUAAUAGCAAUCCCCUCCUCUCCCACGUGGUCAGCUGUUUUGAAUCGCCAUUACCCAGGAGCCAUCACACAGAGCUGAACAACACAGUGCACAUACAUCACCAGGACUUGUCCUGGUGAAAGAUGAGGUGAGCCCAGGCCGUGGCCACACCCUGCUGGAAGCCCAUGCGGCCCACCUAAGUAAAGAGGCAUUUUCUCCCAGAUGAGGCCUUGCUGAACUCUGCCUGCCAAGCAUCCUGUGGGAAGCAGACUAUGACAAGGUUUUGGUUUUAGAAAUACUGUGAUUAGUAAGACACAUUUUGAAACUGCAUCGUCAUUUAGUUGUGUGUGUCUGUGUACCAGCUGGCGUUUCUUAAAAUCAGUUUAUCCUCUUUUCCCCUCUGAGAUACUCACAAACCUGCAGGAGGGCGGUUGUUCACAUAUAUUCACCUGCCAUCCCCAGUCUGUCCUUACCUAGGACGACCGCUCUCUGGUUCAGAAGCCUCCAGCACUUACCAUAAAUAUGUAUAAUACUGCGAACCCAUUCUGUGGGCCUUAUUCACAUGCCUAGAGGACUCCUGGUGCACAUAGGUUGUGUGACAGUCUGGGGAUUUCUUGUUUACCUUGCCUGUUACCAGUACAGCAAGAGCAGUUUGCAUAACAGCUUCUCCUCUUCCAUCUCGAGUUUCCUGAAGCUUCUCCCCAAAAUGUUGUUCCUGGCAUUGACCCUAAUCCCACAUGUCACUGCACCUACUGAAACCACUGGAGCUCUGCAAAGCUAGGUCUUCCAUUUCACUGAAGAGGGAGACUCCGUAUGCCAGGCUUAUCUCUACUGAAAGGCUUGGUUUAAUCAGGAUAUGCAAGCUGCACCCCAAAAAACCACAGGGUCUGACACCACCUUGAAUUUUCCAUAAAGGUGGAGAAUGGAGGAUCUCACCCAGCUCUCCUGGCCCGUGGUAGAGCUCACGUGUCUUAGAAGUAAUUUGACUGAAGUCAUUCCUCUUUCAGUUUUUUCAUCAAAAUAUCAGAGCCCAUGAUCCUGACUAUGGAUCAACUGGAAAGAAAGAAAGUUAAGUUCCCUAAGUUUCCCCUGGAUAAGAAAGGAAAUGAAAGCACAGUGACUAACAAACUGAUCUCACUUGGAAAUACCUGCAGUAUCUUCACCCAUGCCUUUCCAGCUGAUCGCAUGGCUGGCAACAGAUCAAAUGAUUCACCAGGAGAUAGGUCUGCAGCUGUCACACCCAGGCUCUUGGUAGGCAGUAGGAUACCAGUGGCAGACACUGAUAAGCCAGGCCUGAGGCAGUGUCAGGGCUCGUUCUGGAGAUGGCAGAGAAGUCGGCAGGGCAGUAUACUUCCUCUGCAUGGAGCCUAGCAUUACAGGUCCAGGGAGGAUAUGGCCUGGCAUGUUUUUGAACUUGUCACUUUCACAGUUAUUGUAAAAGACCAAAAUUCUAGAAACCAACUGAUCUUCCCACCCCUGAUUAUGCCUUAUCAUUGUGCCUAGGAGCAGAAGAUACCACAGAUGGUACUGGAAAGAUACAAACUGAACCUGUCAGCGGGGAAGAGACUGUGUUCAUCUAACUUCAGCUGCCUUCAAGUUGCACGUCUCCCAUCAGCCAUUUCCUGGGCUCCCCCUCCAGUCAAUGGAGUGACUCCAGAGCAUGAUUCACCACAUCCUAAGAAUAGAGCCGGAGAUCAGUAAAGCGGGAGGCCCAAAGCCAGCAACAGUGUAAAGUGCUGCUGUUGGGUGCUGGACAGGCUAGUGUGGUGUACCAUUCUGCCACGCAAACCAGCCACACGUUUCCCUUCACAUGGGUCACGUAAUGUUGACUUUUAGUGUCAUUCUUCCACCCAACGCCCUGUGGAGAAACCUGCUGAAGUUCUCAAGUUUCUUGACAGGUGGAGAAGGAUUAAUCCAGCAACCUUCACAAAACAUUUGUUUUACACCAAGCACAACAUUUGUGGGAAAAUAAGGUAAACUGUGUAAGGAAAUAAACAUUCAUAGA